CAGCUCUAGAUGCUCACAAAAAAUGAGUGCUAGUGGGUACUUAACUACAGCAAAGUUCUGCCAUAAAUCAUGUGCAAAGGCAGUAGCUGUCGCCAGCAGGAGUUCAGUCAAAAAUCAAACCGUUUUGCAGAUUCAUUGAUUUUUGUUUUGGGUUAAAACUUUUCUGUUUCUGACGCCAGUACCUGAGCAGUCUCCUCUUCCUCUGGGUGUCAUCAGCAGAGGAAUGGAUGUGGACCUUUGCGCUAGAAGGGCUGUGGUGGGCAUGGCGGGCUGGAGGGACCAUGGAGGAAAGGACCCCAUCAACUUGGAGCCGAAAACGAGAGAAAGAGGAUGUGAACAAGGAUUUAAAACAAGACUGAGGACCCAGGUCUUCUGUCCAGAUGUCUUCUGCCCUGGGAUACGCGAGGGCAGAUGGGAACCUGUACAGGCUGGGCAAUUGCUAGAAGCCAACCUACAAGUUUUUCCUUCCUUGCGGAUCUCUGUGAGACAGUUUGGGCCAAUCCAACGCGGGAGGAACAGAUGAAAUAGGAGGCGGAAAGAAAUUCUGAGAAUGUUUGGGCCCAGGAGAAGUUUCAGUUUUGAUAAGGCUCACGCUUCUGGAGAAAUGGAGGAAAACCUGAAGAGAUCUUUACAACUGCAGCUACAAACAGAGGGCCGUGGGUCAGAUUCACUCUGUGGGGGGCUGGAGGAGGAAGAGAAAGACCUACUGAAGGUUGUACCAGCCCCUCAGCUCUCUGCUUGAUCCCAGUUCCAGACUGGGAGGGGGUGGCUGACCCCCGCCUUGACUGUGGCAAGGCCGCGUUCAAAGAGAGAGAGGAGAAAGAAAUCCUGCAAAAUGACCAGAGUUCUCCAUGGGACAGGGAGGCAAAUGGACAGCUGCUUCAUAAACCGCCAUUGCCUGCACGGUGAGGAAAAACAGAUAACGGAUUUAUCUUAGGAUGGAGACCAAAAUGGCCAUUCGCGUGGCGCUAGUUCCCCCCUCUGUUUCACUUAAAUCAGCGCGGGAGGGCAUUUGGUUACGGCUCUGCAACCUGUCCUCAGACGCUCAGCAGCACCGACCUGUACAUCCGAGAUGUCGCUUGAGCACCGUAACCCGGAGCGGUCCCCGGAAGGUCCACCCAGUUCCCUCACCCUGCCGUGAGCUCUCUGUGCCCGGCUACGCCGGUAAAUCACCCUCUGCCGGGCAGGGAAUAUGCAGGCUUCGGAACACGCAGCCGUAAAGUAAUGGCUUAUAAUUCCAUUAGGGCUCAGGAAAAUCUGCCGAGUUAUGUCACAUCUAUUUAGCUUGAUGUUGGUUUCUUGGAGGUCUAAGAACAUGGCCAAAGGGGAAUUGAGCUGCCUUUUUUUGUUUGUUUGUUUCAGGUUUUUUUUUUUUGGUUUGGUUUUUUUUGAGAACCGUCUUUUAUUUAAAAAAAAAAAAAAAGGAGGACAAAAUAAAUUUGGGCCAUAGUUUUUUAUGGGAUUGUUGCAGCAGUUGUGGAACUGUUCGAUGUCCUCAAAAAUGGGCACGGAAGGGACCAGUCUGGUUGGAUUUGUACAACAGUUUCAAAGAAAGUCAACUCUGGCCACUGCUGCUUCUUAUGUCCCAUUUCAGACUCUUCACGGACUCCUAUCUCUUGGUUUUGGAAAGCUCCAUUUCUUCCUCAUUCUUCCUCCUCCUUUUCCUUUCUGAUUGUCUUGUCUGUCUCUGCCAUCGCCAUCUUUCCUCUGUCCCUCUUGAAGCCGACCUCUGCUGAGCAGCGCAGGGAUGACGGCUUGUCCCACGUUCUCCACUGUUAUCCAGCGACGGGCACUAAUAACUGCAAUUUCCAGCAAGGUAAAAAUUAGAUCUGAUAAGCAAAAGGAAACAUGAUCAAAUGCGGGAAAUAAUUUUUUAGCUUUUCCGGUGGGAGACGUUUCAUUUGAAAUCUCCAUGACUUUCACGAAGAUCUCAGGAAGCUCUCUAUCUCCAGAAUGUGGGGUUGUGUUUAGGCUUUUGUUUAAUUCCCUCAAACUUUAAAGAAGAUUCAAAAGAACAAAUGGGAGCAGUAGCUUUGUAUCAGACGUGGGAUAAAUUUCCUUGAUGCCAAACCUUAACUCACUAAAAGCGAUGGGAAACUAGGCCAUCUCUAGCCCCAGGGGCUGAGGGCACUGUUUGGUGCUCCCAUCCAGCUGCUCCGGCCUCACCUCUCCCCACCCAGCACCCAACCACAACCACGGCUGCUGGUUUUAUUCCAAGUUGUUGUAGCUUUGGGCUAGUGGGGACGGAGGGUAAAACCUGCUGCCAGAAGACUCACGGCAAGGCGGAAAAGAUCGCCCACCAGGGUCCAGGAGGGGGGCGUGUAACGGUGCGUCAGGGCCAGCGUAAGUGACCUUCCCAAAGCGAAGUGAGAAGGUGAAGCAGAAGGAAGCAGUGGGAUUGGGAGGCCAAAGGCUGGGAGGGAGAUCCUGCAAGUCAGUCUGGUGACGAGAAAACCAAAGCGGGUUUUCUUUUUGUUGCUUUUUCUUCAUUUAUUGCAGUCAGAAAAAAAAAAUAAUGUUUUUUUAUAUACAUAUAUAUCUAAAAGGAAGGUACACCUUUUCAGUAUGGUCAUCCCGCUUCUCCUCAGAGGCUGGUUGGGUGGAAAAUCAGUUAAAGAGAAAAAAAAAAGCAAAAAAAAAAGCAGCUUACGGAUACUCAUAUUCUUGCUAAAAACAUCUUGUACGGUCUCCUCUGGGCGUCUCUCCCUGCUGCUGGCGAUAAGAGCUCGCUCCCCGUAUAAAGCCGUAAGCGCACGCAUACCCGCACGCCUCUGAAGGAGGCCACGGGGACUCCGAGCAGGUCUGCGGGCAGUUUGCUUGCAAUCUGUGCGUCUGACCCGCCUUUGCCCUGCAGUCGUGGGCGCAACCGCCAAAUAUGUGUGUGUGUGUGGUGUGCGUGUAUCCCUGUGUGUGUGCGUGCACACGGCGGUACUGCUUGGCGAGCGGGUUUGUUUUUUAACCCGCUGCUUAAUAAUUACUGCUUCCUUAUUCAUUUUAAAAGCUCCUAUGUGAUCACAAAGAGAUUUAUUUACCAGACACUGUUUAGAUAGGUUCAGUAAAGUAACCAUCAGCCUCAUCUAUUGAUGCGUGUGCUUUAUCAUGCAUUUAAUAGUCUUAUUUCUCCAUAAUGAAUGAGUCCUCCAGUGGGAAAUAAAUUGAAAUGCCAGUUUGGGGAUCAAUCAGUGCUCAUACGCAGCCCCUAUAAUGGGAAGUUCAUGUUCUGUAGUGCAGGUAUUUUUCUGGAAUGGCUUGGCUGCACUUUGUUACCCCAGGUUUCGACUUUGUUAAGGUACAUGUCUGGAAGAAAUGGAUUCAUAGAAAAACAUUAGAGAAAACUCAAUAAAAAUAUGCAUGGCCCUGGAUGAUAAAGGUGCGGUUUCCCAUUGCCCUGCAUUUGUGAGGCAUUUCCUUCAGGGAAAAAUAACUGAAAUGCAGCGCUAAAAGUGGAGCCUCAUCUGCCUUCAAAUAAGAGGAGUCCUGGUCGAGGCUCAGUACUGAGGUCUACGGAGUCCACUGAAGCACUCCGUGUGCUUUCAACCGAGCAGUUGGCCGGACAUCUGCAGGACCAGACCACGUUUCCAGAAUAGCAAUUAAACCAAAAUCAGAGGAUGGGACUUCAAGACCUGUUGGAUGAGCAGCAGAUGAGAACUUACUGCAGGCUGGAGGUCAUGAUGAAUCCCCCGUCCUCCCCUGGGCCGGCUGAGAGGCUGCACUGGGUAGGGCUGGGGGAACGUGCCUUUAUUUCCAGGGUGCUCUGUAGGCCUGACCCGAAGCGCGUUUGAAUUGGUGAGGUUUCCUUUUCGUCUUCCUCGACUUGCAUCAGAGAUCCAGUAGGAGCAGGGCUAAAGAUGCCCCGUACCAACGGGCCAGAGGGCGCUUCAGUUUGAGUUUGGGUGCCUUUGCCUUCCCUGGGGCAGAGGC